UACGUAGGGUGCGAGCGUUAAUCGGAAUUACUGGGCGUAAAGCGUGCGCAGGCGGUUUGUUAAGCCAGAUGUGAAAGCCCCGGGCUCAACCUGGGAACUGCGUUUGGUACUGGCAAGCUAGAGUACGGCAGAGGGGGGUGGAAUUCCACGUGUAGCAGUGAAAUGCGUAGAGAUGUGGAGGAACACCGAUGGCGAAGGCAGCCCCCUGGGCCGAUACUGACGCUGAGGCGCGAAAGCGUGGGGAGCAAACAGG
rnacentral:rRNA from 1 species